UAAGGCUGAGACACGACGUCGAGCACCUACGGGUGUGAAGUCAUUGAUGCCAUGCUUCCAGGAAAAGCCUCUAAGCUUCAGAUUGUAAGGAAUCGUACCCCAAACCGACACAGGUGGUCGGGUAGAGAAUACCAAGGCGCUUGAGAGAACUCGGGUGAAGGAACUAGGCAAAAUGGUACCGUAACUUCGGGAGAAGGUACGCUCUCGACGGUGAAGUCCCUUGCGGAUGGAGCUAUUGAGAGUCGCAGAUACCAGGUGGCUGCAACUGUUUAUUAAAAACACAGCACUGUGCAAAAUCGUAAGAUGACGUAUACGGUGUGACGCCUGCCCGGUGCCGGAAGGUUAAUUGAUGGGGUUAGACUUCGGUCGAAGCUCUUGAUCGAAGCCCCGGUAAACGGCGGCCGUAACUAUAACGGUCCUAAGGUAGCGAAAUUCCUUGUCGGGUAAGUUCCGACCUGCACGAAUGGCGUAAUGAUGGCCACGCUGUCUCCACCCGAGACUCAGUGAAAUUGAAAUCGCUGUGAAGAUGCAGUGUACCCGCGGCUAGACGGAAAGACCCCGUGAACCUUUACUACAGCUUGGCACUGAACAUUGACCCUACAUGUGUAGGAUAGGUGGGAGGCUUUGAAGCACGUACGCCAGUAUGUGUGGAGCCGUCCUUGAAAUACCACCCUUGUAGUGUUGAUGUUCUAACGUCGACCCCUUAUCGGGGUUGCGGACAGUGCCUGGUGGGUAGUUUGACUGGGGCGGUCUCCUCCCAAAGAGUAACGGAGGAGCACGAAGGUGGGCUAAUCACGGUUGGACAUCGUGAGGUUAGUGCAAUGGCAUAAGCCCGCUUGACUGCGAGAAUGACAAUUCGAGCAGGUGCGAAAGCAGGUCAUAGUGAUCCGGUGGUUCUGAAUGGAAGGGCCAUCGCUCAACGGAUAAAAGGUACUCCGGGGAUAACAGGCUGAUACCGCCCAAGAGUUCAUAUCGACGGCGGUGUUUGGCACCUCGAUGUCGGCUCAUCACAUCCUGGGGCUGAAGUCGGUCCCAAGGGUAUGGCUGUUCGCCAUUUAAAGUGGUACGCGAGCUGGGUUUAGAACGUCGUGAGACAGUUCGGUCCCUAUCUGCCGUGGGCGUUGGAAGAUUGAAGGGGGCUGCUCCUAGUACGAGAGGACCGGAGUGGACGAACCUCUGGUGUUCGGGUUGUGUCGCCAGACGCAUUGCCCGGUAGCUAAGUUCGGAAUCGAUAACCGCUGAAAGCAUCUAAGCGGGAAGCGAGCCCUGAGAUGAGUCUUCCCUGAUACUUUAAGUAUCCUAAAGGGUUGUCGGAGACUACGACGUUGAUAGGUCAGGUGUGUAAGUGCUGUGAGGCAUUGAGCUAACUGAUACUAAUUGCCCGUGAGGCUUAACCAUACAACACCCAAGGGGUUU
rnacentral:rRNA from 1 species